rnacentral:sRNA from 16 species
AACUUUGUGAGGAGAGCUUCUUCUUGAAAUGGAAACGAGGCGACACGUCCUAAAAGAAGCCGAGA